CAUCGCCUCUUGAAUAUAAAUAAUAAGAGGUCCCGCCUGCCCUGUGACCAUGAGUUUAACGGCCGCGGUAUUUUGACCGUGCAAAGGUAGCGCAAUCACUUGUCUUUUAAAUGAAGACCUGUAUGAAUGGCACGACGAGGGCUUAACUGUCUCCUUUUUCCAGUCAAUGAAAUUGAUCUUCCCGUGCAGAAGCGGGAAUAUGAACAUUAGACGAGAAGACCCUAUGGAGCUUUAGACACCAGGACAGUCCAUGUCAAGCACCCCUCAUUUAAAGGACUGAACUAAUUGGGCCCUGUUCUACUGUCUUUGGUUGGGGCGACCACGGGGAAACACAAAACCCCCAUGUGGACCAGGAAUACUUUUCCUACAACUAAGAGCUACAGCUCUAAUUAACAGAACUUCUGACCAGUAAUGAUCCGGCAAUGCUGAUCAACGGACCGAGUUACCCUAGGGAUAACAGCGCAAUCCCCUCUUAGAGCCCAUAUCGACGAGGGGGUUUACGACCUCGAUGUUGGAUCAGGACAUCCUAAUGGUGCAGCCGCUAUUAAGGGUUCGUUUGUUCAACGAUUAAAGUCCUACGUGA
rnacentral:rRNA from 1 species